GCCCAUUUAGCUCAGCGGCAGAGCGCGCCGCUCGUAAAGCUUACGUAAUCAACGUAAUCAGGACACGGUGAGGUCGGUUGUUCAAUCCAGCCAAUGGGCA